UCAGAGUCCUACAGUGCGACAGUUAAAAUAUGGAUGGAGCUGUUAAGUUAUUUUAUCUCCUCUGUAAAAAACUGAUGAUGAGACUAGCUUAAUUU